rnacentral:misc_RNA from 1 species
GAUGAAGAACGUAGCGAAAUGCGAUACGUAAUGUGAAUUGCAGAAUUCAGUGAAUCAUCGAAUCUUUGAACGCACAUUGCGCCCCUUGGUAUUCCAUGGGGCAUGCCUGUUCGAGCGUCAUCUACACCCUCAAGCUCUGCUUGGUGUUGGGCGUCUGUCCCGCCCCCGCGCGUGGACUCGCCCCAAAUCCAUUGGCAGCGUUCCUUGCCCCCUCUCGCGCAGCACAUUGCGCUUCUCGAGGGCGGCUCCGGGACGCGAUCCAGCAAGAUGACCACCGUCUUUGACCUCGGAUCAGGUAGGGAUACCCGCUGAACUUAAGCAUAUCAAUAAGCGGAGGA